CUGAAGGUAAAAGAAAGUUGUAUAAGUUUGUGAAGGAGAAAUUCUGAAAGGAGUUUUAUGCUGGUCAAGUUGACCAAGAUUAGCUAAAUUGAAUUAAGUAAAUGAGUUUUAAUGUUAAAAAAUGAGUAGGUGCAAAAAUUAAAAUUUGGUUUUCUCUCUUUUGAGCUUUGCAAUAGAGAAACAAAGAAAUCUUUAAAAUGUCAAAGGCUCCACCCCUGGGAGUGAAUGGAUUUGGAAACUCUUGAAGGGUAAUUCCCAUUUCAAUUUUUAUUUUAACUUUCAUUUUAGUUCCUUAGUAUUUCAAAUGGAAACCUACGAUCCCUUCCUGCAAGGGUCUUCACCUUGGGUGUUUAUAAAUUCUUUUUUUAACUCUCUUCCUUUGCUCUCCUCAUGCUGUUGGUAUCUGCACACCUGGUUCUCCUGGUCCUGGCUAAUUCUUGGUACUCUUGUGUCUCUCCUGACAGCAGAAAGCAGUAACCAGACAGGUUGAGUGAUUCAGUAGAAAUUUAAGUGAUAUCAUCUUAGCCACAUGUAAGCAGCAGCCUGUUGUGAACUAGAAUUGCAAUGCAGGAAUGAUCUGAUUCCUAUAGGCCUCUCUCCCUUCUCUGCCCUGGUGAAUGAAUGCUAAAGGAAUUUAAAGCAUGUAAAACAUGACACACAUUGAGCUGUUGACUUGGCCAUCAAACUGAACAUCUUGCCUUCUUGUAGGUAAAAUUAGUGUCACAGAUUCUAGAUUUUAUUUCUAAGGGCAAAGCAUUUAAGUGUGUUCACUUACGUUGACUCUUGAUGCAGUAAAGGUCUAUUUUCCUUUAAACUUGACUUCCAGGUUUGAACUUAGAAGUAAAAGCAAAGCCAAACAAAACCACCAAAACAUAGGAAUCUCUGUCAAUAGAACACCAGAGCUGCAAAGAUUGAUGACCUGAAGAAUAAGAGUUGACACGAUGUGCUUGGUCAGUCCACCGAUCUGAAGGAGAGGAAUCCUCUAUUUGUGGCUGGCUGAGGAAAGCCAGUUACAAUGCAGAAAAGCUGAGAAAUGGUAGGAGAAAGUAGAGAAGCAAACAGAAGAGGGAAAAGCUUGAUAUAAGAAAAGUGUAAGGAACAGAAGAAACACCAAUCUUCAGAGUUGGUGGUGCCAAAGUUGAAGAUUAUGGUGACCACUGUCACAUUGCUGGCCCCCAGUGAUCCACAUCUCCCAGUAUUUGCCCGUGUGUGGUCCUCUCUCUUUGAACCUGAGUUGGGAAUGUAACUCAUUUUAACCAAAGGGAAGUGGCAGAGUGAUGCUGUUUCAGUUCUGGUCUAAGCCUUAAUAAGUUCUGCUUUUGUGCUCUUAGGAGCCCUGAUCUGCCUUGCAAGAACUUUGUUACCCUGCUACAGCUACAUGGAGAGGCUGUAGGAGAAGCCACAUAAGAGGGAGAGGCCCUGAGAGAAAAGCCUAGCUAAAAGAAUUUAAGCCCAGGCCCCUGCUGGCCUACCAACUGGAUGAAUCCACAUGAGUGACCACUGGUAAGAUCAACAGAAGAGUCACCUAGCUAAGCCUGGAUUGCAGAACAAGCAAACAAAAUGUUUAUUGUUUUAAGCUACUCAGAUUUGGGGUGGCUCGUUAUGCAGCAAAAGAUAGCUGCUGGCAUGACAGUGGAGAAGAAGAGUCAGGGAUCAAGACCCGGUGACUACUCUCUGGGACAGCAUCCUAUAGAGUGAAGAUGCGGGCCUGAGAGCAAAGCAAGCUCGGUUCAAAUCCUUACUUUGUCACUUCUUAGCUCUGUGCCUUUAGGCAAGUUAUUUAAUCUUUCUGGGGCUCAGUAUUAUCUGUAAAAUGAGAAAAAUAUUUCUUCCCUCAGAUGAUAGUUAAGAAAUGAACUGAGUGAAAGUUUGGGGCACAUAGAAGGUAAGUACCCACCAAACAUUAGUUCUCUUCCACCUCCUCCCUGUGGUUCCCUCGCCCCCUGAGGGGAUGAAAGUGAUCCAAACUACAAUCACUCUUAAAGGGCAGUCGUGUGACCUGCUAAAGGAAGUUCUGUCACAGGUCAGUUUUACACAGUGUGUGUGUAUUUGAUAAACAUUGUGUUUAUAGGAAAAAGAGGUAAACUCCUAAAAUACAAGUGAUGUAUUUUUUUGACUGAUGGCAGGGUUUGGGGCCACUGCUGGAGUCAACGCACAUUCAUGUCUGUUGCAGACUGUCUACACCUGCUCCUCUGGAGGACACAAUUGUUUAUCAGGCGAACUAAGCUUUGGUCAUCAAGGAACAUCGAAGUUACAUUCAGCUUAUUUUAUUGCAGAAGGCAUGGAGGCAUAGGUUAUUUCCACAAAAAAGCAUUACCAUCUCAGUUGUUUGUAAAAUUCACUUAGGCAAGAAUUGCACAUUUCGAGGCAGUGCUGGAUAAAACUCGGCCCUUGAUGAGGCCUUGCCUUCAUACUGGAAGGUGAUUUAGGGCCCUGGAAAGAAACAAGCCUCGUAUUGGGUGUUCAAAUUAUGUUAAAACUGUGCAGACACCAAGUUCUCAAGCCUCCUGAGAGAAAAUACACACACACGCACACACACACACACACACACACACACAGAUAUGAAAGGAUUAAAGAAAAAAGAAAUAAACCUGCCCUGCCUCAGCUUCCAAUUUGUAAAAUGAGAAGGCCAGACUGGAAGGUUCCCCAAGGUCAUUCCAGCUCCUAGUGUGGCAGACUCUCAGAUCCUGUGCCUGUAUUAGCCCUCUGUGGACAGUGAGAUUAAAAACACAGGCUGCUCUCCAGCAAAGCUUCAAUUGCAGAGAUUUAACUAGGAAAAGAAUCAAAGCACUCUCUCAGAUUACGUCUUUUAUUUCCAAUUGUUUUUAUUGUUUCCAUUUUAUUUUACAAGAGAAAUGAAAGGUGCAAUUUGCCAAAUUCUUGCACAUGUUUUCCUGCCAUACAACUGUCCUAGCAAGUUAACCAAAAACAGUUCUCUAAAAUGCAUUUUCAAUGAGAAUCUUAGAUUCCUGGAAUCUGUCUUAGACAUUUUUUCCUUCAGACUCUUCUAGGGCUCCAGGGUUUCCAUACCUCAAUGUCAAGGGCAGGGCAAAGGAAUUCAGUUUAGCAAUUACCGUGCAUUAGUGUAGCUCAAAGCUGUUUUUUUCUUAAUGGCUUAGAAGAGCCAUUCGAGUGCUUUGAUUCUAGUAAUAGAAGUUCCAGUGGGGAUGGUAGGUGAACGCCCAUGUAAUGUUUAGUCUAUUAAAAUGGCCCUAUCCAAAGCUUAUGCAGGGUGCAUUCUUACCAGGGACUCUGAAUAAGGGGAGGUCAUCAUGGAAGAAAGCAUGAGAAAAUAGGAGCGCUAAAGUGAGUCUGGGAGUGCCCCUCCUCUGUCCAGAUUAGGUCCCAUGAUUAUAGUGGACAUUUGUUUUCGCCCCCUCUCAUGGCGAGGGGGAAGGAUCUCCCCGAAGUCUCCCUGUGUGCUUCCAGAAUGCUGACUUGCCCCCAGGCUUCACAGCGGAGCAUGGACAUUAGACCACAGUUCCUCAAACUGUCUGUGGUGAAGGCCCAGUUUGCUUUCUCUCCCACAUCCCCACACACUGUGGACUGAUAGUUGUGUAAAAUACCAUACAAAUGAAGCACUGGAAGAAUGACACACAAAAUAAAGACAUAAAAUAUAAGCCUCAAUGUUUUUAUAAUUAGAUUUAAUUACUCUUGUCAAAUUGCAGUACAAAUUUCUAACCAUCCUUAUUUUCUAUGCUUAUCUUGUUGCAGCUGAGAACAAAAAUGUGGGAACAGGUACUGGUCCAUGGACCACACUUUGAGUAGAACUGACUUAGACUAGGCCACUAGUGUUCUUUGGUUACUGGUAAUUAUUUCAGGGGUGUUCUUAUGACCUGAGCUGGUCCCAUUCACUUGAAUGUUGGGACUCUAAUUUGGAACACUGGGACAAUGAUUCUUUGUUUUUCCUGGCUGGAUGCCAUCUUGGGACCACAAGAGAAGUGGUUUGAGAAGGAGUUAACACUAAGAGAUCAGAACCAAGGGAUGGAGAGUCAGAAGCUGAGUCUACUCCUGUGCUGUGGAGAAAUAUAAGCCAAUGAAUUAGAAAUUUGCUUAAGCCAGAAUUCAUCUGGUUUCCUGUCAUCUGCAAGACAAAGAGUCCUAUGAGAUACAGUGAUUAAUGUGCAUAUUUCCCAUGAACUCUCAGCCAGCUUCUCUUUUGCCAGUCAUCUUUCCAAAACACAGAUCUGGGUAUGCCAUUCUUCUGGUUAUGAAAACCUUAGCUUCCCACUGCCCCAGCACAAGUUCAAGCUGCUUAAACUGUCAUUCGAAGUCCUUUGCAAUUGACUCUUCCACUUUUUCAGCCUAAAUUUUUGCUACUCUUAUCCUCAGGCACAUACCCUGUGCUUUAGCGUGACCAGACAUGUACUUUCAUAUAUGUUACAAGUUUGCUCACGCUCCUUCUGGCUGGAUUGCACUUCCUCUUCCCACAAGCUUUUCUGACUUUCUAGAACUCAACAAUAGAAUCUUGAGAAUAUAAGGUGUGCAUUAUUUUUAAAUGUUAAGCAUUAUGCAUGGUGAUCAUUCCUGCUGAUUCAAGGGCUAAUUUUGAGAGUGCUGGCAGGAAGGCAAAUUGAUGCCUCCAGAAAUUUGAUAAAAACUGCAUUUAGACCCCAAAGGUCUCAUUUCAUAGGGAGUCUAACAUGCUUAUACUACCAAAAUCUCUGAAAGCAAGAAGAUUAGAUGAAGUGCGACUUUAAGUUAUUGCAAAAAUGAAUAAGCAAGAAACAAAAAUAUACAUCACACAAAAACAUGUACACAAAUGUUCACAGCAGCUUUAUUCAUAAUAGUCAAAAAGUGGAAACACCCCAAAUGUUCAUCAACUGAUCAAUGUAUAAACAAAAUGUGGUAUAUCUGUCAAAUGGAAUAUUACCUCCCAUAAAAAGAAAUUAAGUACUGAUACACGCUACAACAUGAACAAACGUUGAAAACAUUAUGCUAAGUGAAAGAAGCCAGAUACAAAAGGCCACAUAUUGUAUGAUUCCAUUUAUAUAAAAUGUCUGGAAUUGACAAAUCUAUAGAGAAAGUAGAUUAGUGCUAACCUAGGGCUGGGGGAAUGAGAAGAUUGAAGGGAGAAGGCUGAGGGGAACAGAGUUUCUUUUUAGAGUGAUGAAAAUGUUCUAAAAUUUAUUAUGGUGAUAGAUGCACAACAUUGGGCAUACAGUAAAAUCUACUGAAUUGUACACUUUUAAUGGGUGAAUUUUAUGGUAUGUGCAUUAUGUCUCAAUAAAGCAUUUUUUUUUUAAAAGAAAGUUUAUAGGAGCUUUAUUUAUAGUUGCUAAAACUGAGAAACAAAUAAGAUGUCCAAGGUAAAUGGAUAAAGCAACUGUGCUACAUCCACAGUUAUUAUUAUUCAGUGCUAAAGAGAGAUGAGCUAUUAGGGCAUGAAAGAACAUGGAGGAAACUUAAAUGCAUAUCAUUAAGUGAAAGAAGCCAAUCUGAAAAAGCUGCACACUGUCUGAUUCCAACUAUGUGAGUGACAUUCUGGAAAAGGCAAAACUCUGGAGAUGGUAAAAAAGAUCAGUGGUUGCCAGGGGUUAGGGGUUUGAGCAGUUGUCACCCACAGUGUCUGUCCCUUCUCUGAUAUCUUACUGAGAUCGCUUGGCAGUUCCCAGAUGUGCCGGGGCCUCUCCUGUGUAGUCACUCUUGACCUGUGCAGUGCUUUUCCCUAAAACCGCAGCUCAUGGUUCAAGGACAGAGACAUGACUUACAGGUACUUGUGUUUCCUGGUUUCCAGCAGUAAAUAUUUACUAAAUGAAACUUGGCUCAGGCUGCCUAUCAAGGCGAAGAGGAAGUGGCGCCUCCCAGCAGGUUUUGUCCUCCAGGCAGGGUACCUGUUCCUGCAUAAUUGAGAGGAAACUCCGGGGUCUGGCCCCGUGGCACAGCAGUUAAGUUCUGCUUCUCAGUGGCCCAGGGUUCGCUGGUUCGGAUCCUGGGUGCACCAUGCUGUGGUAGGCGUCGCACGUAUAAAGUAGAGGAAGAUGGGCAUGGAUGUUAGCUCAGGGCCAGUCUUCCUCAGAAAAAUGAGGAGGAUUGGCAGUAGUUAGCUCAGGGCUAAUCUUCCUCAAAAAAGAAAAAAGAAAGGACACUCCACCAGAGUGAAGGCUGUCUCACCCUUUCACAGAGAUCAGGUGAUAGUGCUGGGCUGUGGGUGUCAGAGCAAGGGCAUCACAGCUUAAGAAAGACGUGAGAAGUUAGGAGACCCGUCAGAGGACAGCUGUCAUGAAGAUAAGGAGUUUGGAAAAGAAGAUGUAGGAAGAGGGGAGGGAAGUACUGGGAUUAUUUAAACCUGACAAGAGGAGCCUGAAAAAAGCGUGACAGGUGGUUGAUUUUUGAACAUAUGUAGGGUGAUCAUACAGACCAGAGCUUCUCAGCCUUUUUCGUGGCAAGGCGCUCUUAGGAAGAGAUCACACUUACAAGGCCCAGGGCAGGAUCUCAUCUUGUGCAGCCUCAUCCGAGUCCCUGGGUCCCAUCUGCCACUCGAGAGCUGAGGGAUCAACAACUUAGCAUAUGUAACCUAUCCCGGCCUUUGGGGAGUAUAUGGACUGAAUGUUUGUGUCCCCCCAGUUCAUAUGUUGGAACCUAAUCCCAAUGUGAUGGCAUUAGGAGAUGGGGCCUUUGGGAGGUGGUUCGGUGAUGAGGGUGGAGCCUCAUGAGAGGAUUAGUGUCCUCAUACAAGAGACCUCACAGAGCUCCCUCACCCUCUUUUUCCACCACGUGAGGUUGCAGGGAGAAGGCAACUGUCUGUGAACCUGGAAGUGAGCCUGGCCAGACACUGAAUCUGCUGGUGUCUUGAUCUUGGACUUCCCAGCCUCCAGAACUGUGAGAAAUAAAUGUCUGUGGUUUAAGCCUCCCAGUCUGUGGUGUUUUGUCACAGCAGCCUGCACUGACUAAGGGAUGUGUCCACCUGGAGAGGGCGGGAACGGUCUGUAUUUUAGGAAGAGUAAGAAAAAGUGGGCUCAAAAUAAAAAAGGAAAGAUUGAAGUAAAAAGAGAAAACGUUUUAUUCCAGGAUUUGGAAAUACUGGACUGGUUUAUCAAAGGAUGUGUGUGUGUGUGUGGGUGUGUAUGUGUGAGUGUGUGUGUAUGUGUAGCAUGUGCUGAGUCUUUAUCCAGUUUAAGCUUCACUAACUUCAGAAAAAUAAGUGCUAAAGACUUACCCCCUAGAUCAUUGGGAGGUUAUUUACAUUUAUCUUAUAAAUAUAUUUAUUUAGUUAGUUUUCUGAAUGUUGAAUAAUGAAUUAUUCAUUUUAAUUAUUUGACUUAGCCUCUUGAAGAUGGUAAAGUCUAACUGAAACAAAAACCUAAAAUUUACUGUUUUCACAAAACUAACUAAGUGUAGAAGAACACUAAGUUCCAAAUCUGGGUUUGUGUAAGGCAAAAACAUUCUAUAGGGAAGAUGGAUUUGAGGCCAUAUAUGAUCCUGUGUGUAAAUGUCGGGGUAUAAGCAUAAGUUCCAGGCAGCCUUUCACUUUCAAGGCAGGAGAAUGGUGAGACCCACGUCUAGUUCUCCAAACAGUAAAGGGGGACCCAGGUAAUAUCUGGGUUACAAAUAAGAAAAGCAGAAAAUUUCAAUAAGGCAAACAUAUGAUAUGAUGAAAAGGUGGAGUUGGAAAAUAGGAUGACAGGUAGUGCAGAGGGACCUAGAAGGCCCAGGAGGGGUGGACAGAUGUGCUGGGCUGGUGGGUGGGGGAGGGGCUGUGGGCACACCCUCUUCAUGUCCCCUCCCCCACCCUCAGAAACCCUUUGUGACUCUUCUGUGUUCUGUGAUGCAGGCCUGGGACUAUAGGCAAGCACUGGCACUCUCAGAGCUCAGUUGCUUCAGGCAGCCUUGCGAUUCAGACAAUGGAGUUCAGCCAUUGGAAUGUUUUCUCAUUUCUGAAUAGCCCUAUUGAGCUGUGUCUGAGCGUCUGCUCAGCAUUCUUAGAUACUGACCCCAACCUCACCUUCCUGUGUGGGUUGUGGUUGCUCCUUCUGUUCCUGUGCUACCUGGUGGGGAUUCCAUCUUUACCAACCUUCUGGAAAACCAAAGAUUUCCAAAAGGGUCAGAGCACAGCCAAGAGGAGAAGGAAAGGUGGAACAUUGGGAGGUUGGAGACAUUACAAGAGAGAAAGAGAGGAGAAAAGGAAGCUGCUUUCUAUUCUGAAAAGCCCCUCGGGCCAGCAUCAUGAUACCAUCAGCUUUCGUCAACUGCUCUGUCCAGACCCCUCCUGUGAAGUGUGUAAUAACACAACUGUGGAGGUCAAUCAGCUGCUGUUCCUGGAGGACCUGGAAGAUGAUACCC